UAGAACAUCCGGCAUUUUUGACGGAAUUUACUGCAUUAUUUUCAUGUUAGCAUGCUUCUAAUGUAUAUAGUGGCUUGUAAUCUAAAGAGGAAGAUGAAACUCUUUACAUCGGCUUAUCAACUGUCUUGUGGGCAACGGUUAUUAAUGCACCACUUUAGCUGAAGCCGGUCGUAAUGAACUGUUCUGAUUUAUUCAUGUAGUUUUACGCAUUCAUUAUGUGGCGCUAUUCAACUGGGAUUAUUUUACUGCUUUUUUCGAUUAAUAAUUUGGGACAAGGUCUACUUUGUUACUCGUGUGGAACGAAAGUUGUAAAUGACUGGCAAUGGCCAAUGACUCCAGAAAUCGAGGACGCUGAGCUGGAUAUGGAAAGUUGUGAGAGUUUUGAAAGCUCGUUUUCUUGGGGGCCUUUUGUCGAGUAUUGUGGAGAGUUCAAAUGGUGUACAAAAUCAAUCACCAAUUUUGGUCAAUCUAUUGUUCGUGGUUGCGCAUCGAGAAAUGAUUCUUCGGGACAAUUGCAUAGAGUGGGAUGUGGAACAAUGAAACCUGGUCUAGUUGUUCCCUCAAAAUCAGAGCUUGACAUGAGAGACGAACUUUGUCUUUGCAACACUAAUUUCUGCAAUUCAUCCAAGUUUCUUAAAACCACGCAACUUUAUUUAUUUGCGGCCAUUAUAACAAUACUUAAUAAAAAUAUGUUCGUAUUAAAGUAA